AGAGAGAGACAUGCGCGCAUAUCAAUAAGCGGAGGAAAAGAAACUAACAAGGAUUCCCUUAGUAACGGCGAGUGAAGCGGGAAGAGCUCAAAUUUGAAAUCCUCAAGGGUUCUACCUUGACGAAUUGUAGUUUAUAGAAGUGUUUUCUGUUAGUGGAAUGGCAAAAGUUCUUUGGAAUAGGACAUCAUAGAGGGUGAGAAUCCCGUAUUUGGUCAUUCCUCCUAGCGUUGUGAUACACUUUCAACGAGUCGGAUUGUUUGGGAAUGCAGUCCAAAAUGGGUGGUAAAUUUCAUCUAAAGCUAAAUAUUGGCGAGAGACCGAUAGCGAACAAGUACCGUGAGGGAAAGAUGAAAAGAACUUUGAAAAGAGAGUUAAACAGUACGUGAAAUUGUCAAAAGGGAAGCGUUUGACACCAGGUGUUGUUUUUCUCGAAAAUCAAUUAAGAGUGUCUUGAUUUUGUGUGAGUAUUGACUUUCAUCGGCUUGCUGCACUUUCUUUACGUGUAACUUUUCUAAUGCACUUUUCGGUUAACAAGUCAACAUCAAUUUCUUUUGUUGUAAAAGGGUAUGAGGAAGGUGGCUUUCUUUUCGGAGAAAGUGUUUAUAGCCUUGUACCUCUGCAAUCGGAGAGAUUGAGGUCUGCAGCGUAGAUCCUUCGGGGUUAGAUACAUUUGUGCUAAGUUAUAGCUUUUCAUAGACAACUUGUUGACUAUGUUUAGUCUUGUAGCUUACUCGCUUAUGCUAUUUUACCUACGCUUAGGAUGUUGAUCUGUAGUGCGUGCGC
rnacentral:rRNA from 1 species